AGAAACACCAACAGGUGAGUGGGAUGUGAGAGAAGAUGAAGGUAACCGGUAAAGAGUGUGUUACAAGCCAGCCUCCACCCUGGGCAGCUGGAGCUAAAGCCUACUCUGGAAAACAAUGUUCCACUCACCCCACAGAGUCACCACGACCAACUCCUGUCACAGUCAAUGCCAAUGACCUAUAUGGCAAUAGGACAUGCUGAAGUGAGCGGGGCUAGGCAGCAGGUUUCUUCAGUCCUCAGAAUUUUUACUGACAUGGUGAGAGCCACAUUAGAAGAAAGAGAAAUAAUUGUGUGAAGCGGUUGCUGCUGAGUAGUAAGAAAGAGCCACUGUGUGCUUAUUACUGCCUCUGAGCUUGAUUAUUACAGGCUGGGAAGAGGUGUAGGAAGUGGGAGCAAGAAGAGAAAAUAGCUUCACUAUUUUCAAAGAUGUAUUGUUUUAUAAUGCACAUUGAAAUGGAAAUGGAUAACAGUAGAGAUAUGGUUUUAUCCAACCAUAGGAAUUAUUUUCAUAAGAGAAUGAACAAAAUUUAAAAAUACAUUUGGCCAAUAGAUUUUCCCUGAAAUUUGAGAACCCUUAUCUGGUGGAUAUUUGCCACAUGAUUACUAAAUUUAGUGGCAUACUUUUUUUUUUUUUUUUUUGUGAGACGAAGUCUCGCUCUGUCACCCAGGUGGAGUGCCGUGGCGCGAUCUUGGCUCACUGCAACCCCUGCCUCCCGGGUUCAAGUGAUUCUCCAGCCUUGGCCUCUUGAGUAGCUGGGACUACAGGCAUGCAUAGUGGCAUACUCUUUUAAUAGAAACAUUUGUUUCCCAAGAAACUAGGGCCAAGCAUGGUGGCUAAUGCCCGUAAUCCUAGCACCUUGGGAGGCUCAGGCAGAAGGAUUGCUAGAGCACGAAGGUUGAGACUGUAGAGAGCUGUGAUUGCAGCACUGCACUCCAGACUGGAUGACAGAGUGAGACCUGACUCAAGAAGAGGAAAAAAAAAAAAGGAAGGAAGGAAGAAAGGAAGGAAAAGAGAAAGAAACUAGCUGUUUUCCUGAUGUCUUAAAUAGGGGCAUUUUGAUUUUAUCUACUGCUAUAUACUGAUUUUCUCUUGUAAAUAAAUAGUAGGCAGUCAUUAAAGUACCACUACCAAAAAAGUGUUG
rnacentral:lncRNA from 1 species